UUGCAGACUUCGGUCUGCUACCUCUUACCCAUGUCUUUUGAGUACCUUCGUUUCCUCGGCGGGUCCGCCCGCCGGUUGGACAACAUUCAAACCCUUUGCAGUUGCAAUCAGCGUCUGAAAAAACAUAAUAGUUACAACUUUCAACAACGGAUCUCUUGGUUCUGGCAUCGAUGAAGAACGCAGCGAAAUGCGAUAAGUAGUGUGAAUUGCAGAAUUCAGUGAAUCAUCGAAUCUUUGAACGCACAUUGCGCCCCUUGGUAUUCCAUGGGGCAUGCCUGUUCGAGCGUCAUUUGUACCUUCAAGCUCUGCUUGGUGUUGGGUGUUUUGUCUCGCCUCUGCGUGUAGACUCGCCUUAAAACAAUUGGCAGCCGGCGUAUUGAUUUCGGAGCGCAGUACAUCUCGCGCUUUGCACUCAUAACGACGACGUCCAAAAGUACAUUUUUACACUCUUGACCUCGGAUCAGGUAGGGAUACCCGCUGAACUUAAGCAUAUCAAUAAG
rnacentral:rRNA from 1 species